rnacentral:rRNA from 2 species
CCUGGCGGCCUUAGCGCGGUGGUCCCACCUGACCCAAUGCCGAACUCAGAAGUGAAACGCCGUAGCGCCGAUGGUAGUGUGGGGUCUCCCCAUGCGAGAGUAGGGAACUGCCAGGC